rnacentral:rRNA from 1 species
UAAGGAAUAUUGGUCAAUGGACGCAAGUAUGAACCAGCCAUGCCGCGUGAAGGAUUAAGGCCCUCUGGGUUGUAAACUUCUUUUAUAGGGGAAGAAAUGUGACGGUUCUCCGUCACUUGACGGUACCCUGGGAAUAAGCACCGGCUAACUCCGUGCCAGCAGCCGCGGUAAUACGGAGGGUGCAAGCGUUAUACGGAUUCACUGGGGUUAAAGGGUGCGUAGGUGGGCAGAUAAGUCAGUGGUGAAAUCUUCCGGCUUAACCGGGGAACUGCCGUUGAUACUAUUUGUCUUGAAUAUUGCGGAGGUAAGCGGAAUAUGUCAUGUAGCGGUGAAAAGCUUAGAUAUUACAUAGAACACCAAUUGCGAAGGCAGCUUACUACACAAUCAUUGACACUGAGGCACGAAAGCGUGGGUAGCGAACA